GACGCAUAGUAAAGAAAAAGAAGAAAAAGUACUUCACGCUGCUGUGGUUAAGUUAGAUUAGGUUAUUUGUGUUGGUUUUGGUUAGUUUAGGUUAUAAUAAUCUUUGGGCUAUGAAUGUUAUGUUUGUCGUUUUGAGAUUAUGAAAUAAGACAAUUAUUACGUUUUACUGUUAGUUUAUGAUUUGUGUGAAAUUUGAAGUGAUAAGUUUUUUUCAGAAUUUUGACUUAUAAAUGAUUGCUGGGUUACGACUUCUGUUUGGAAUUGAACGAGGAAUGAAUUAUUGCAGACACCAAAGACAGGGAAGUUUUCCCUGAAGACAGCUCCUGAAAGAAAAAUUGAUGUUGUAGUAUGGGACUGAGGAUGGCACAUUUCGAAAUUAUUUGGUAUUUGUGUGCCUCAGACACAGCCUAUUUCUGUUUCUGUGAGGUUGGUCUAGUGAUAUAUCUUUACUUUAUAUCUGGAACUUAGCAAGGGAUGAUGAAUUCGCAUUUUUAGUGAUUUUUGGAAGAUAGAGAGGUUUGCUUAGGAAGGCUUCUUGUUCGUUGAAACAUUUCUCGUCUGUAGUUUCAAAAUUGCAGCCCUUUGGUGUGGUAAUUAAGAAAAUUCUUUUUAGAGCAGUAAUGUAAGUCCUUCUACAGACCAUGCAAAUUCAUAUUCCAGAAGGAGAGACUGCUAUGACUCUAGCAUUAUCAAUUUGUCGAAUGAAAUUCUUCUCAAUUUGAACUGGAUGAUAUUGGCAUGAAUGAGGGAAUUUCUUCAGUUGGUAAAAUCAAUCUUUCACUUUGGACCCAUCAACUAAUUUAUCAUUUUGGCAAUAAUAUGUUGAGUGCAUAUUAACACAAGAUGAAGAGGUGUAGUGAUACUGUCUAAUAAUUAUUACUUGUCGGGAUCGAGUGUGAUGUUGGUGGUAAAAAUGUUGACACUGUUUUAAUACUUCAACAUGAUCAACAAGAAUGCUCUAUUUAUCCUAAUCCAGUUCUACUAACAAAUGUCAUAUUGUUGAGCGUGUUGUUAAGGAAGUUGUAUUGGGUUAAUGUAGUCUAUUGACUUUGAUCAAUAGCCGUGGAUUGAAGAAUGUGCGAUAUUGGCUAAGGAAUAUAAUUGUUGCAGUUCAUUGUGUUGCCUAUUCUUGAAUUAGGAAAAUUUAUGAAAUAUGACUUGACUAAUCCAUUACACGAGAACAAAUGAUAAAAUGGGAGAAGCGGGGGGAGAAGGUUUCAAGAUGAACACUAGGGAAAUGAAGAAUAAUCGCUAUUCUGAAUUCAACAAAAUAUGCAUCAACUUGGAUUAAUUCAUAAUACUUAUGAUAUUCUUUCUUAUCCAUGAAAAGUGAAUUAUUUUCAGAAUAAUUCUUGGCAGUUUUAGUUAUAAUUGAUCUUCACUCAGAAAAUUUGACAAUGUUGUGAUGCAAUGUUCCUAGUUUCCAAAAACUUAUGGCGUUUUCAAUUUCAUCAAUUAAUUCAAUAAUAAUACUGUGAGAAGUUAGUUUGUUAUCUGUAUAUGAUAAUAAAAAUUGUCACUGAGAUAGCUGAACCUUUCAGAAAUUCCUUCGAACUGGGAAGCAAUUGUUUUUUGAUAAUGCUCCAGGACUGACAUGGUUUUAUUGAAAUUUUUUAGUAUUUCUCUUGUAAAGCCCGUUUGUAACAGCCGAAUAUUCUCUGGGAUUUUGGCAAGCAAUUAUUUUGUAUGCAACUUAACAGUGAAUUCUUUCAAAAGUGUGUAUGUUACUGUAAAGAAUUCACGGCGCAUGAACU